AGAAAACUCCAGCAAUAUAGAAGACUUGAGAUAUUGAGGGGCCGACAUCUGUCAGGUCACUGUGGUAGCCACACUUGGAGAAGGCCCCCAGUGAUCCUUGGCAUCUGGUGUUCAAGCCUCUCCCACACUGAAGAGCCAACCUGUGUGAUUGGUGGGUUAUUGCAGAAAUGAUGAAGUGUGACUUCUGAGGCUAGGGAAGAAUAAGACAUUGUGACUUCCAUGAGGUUCUUUCCUGGAUCCUUCCCUCUAGGGAAACCAGUUGUCAUGUUGUGAGGACACAAGCAGUCCUGUGGAGAGAUCCAUGGGGCAAGAAGCUGACGUCUGCCAAUGACCAGCACCAACCAGCGUCUUGCCAACCUCGAAGUCAGAUCCUCCAGUUCCCGUCUAGCCUUCCAUGGUCACAGACCUGCCUGUCACCUUGACUGGAACUUCAUGGAAGACCCCAGAGCCACAAGCUGGCACAGCCACGAAGGUGCUUCCGAGUUUUUGACGCACAGAAACGGAGAGACAAUACACGGUACCACACUGUUUGUUGUUCAUACUUCUAUGUCCCUUUUUUCCCAGAGGCUUUGAAGCACUACUUUCAAGUGAUACUUCCAAAGGUUGAUGUUCACUAAAGCAACCUGAAAACUGAAUUCCAAAUCCUUGAGCUGAAUAUAUUUCUAACAUAGACCACACACAGGAAAGCAACAAAAACAUCUGCUCAUAAGCAUAAGACGCUGUUUCUCAUCCAGAAGCAUGCUGUGUAGCCCAGUCCCUCCAAUUGUGGUUCUGUGGGAGGCUCACACAGCUGGUAGCCUGUUGAAGGAGCCAUAAAAUGAUGAAGAAGAAAUUUGGACACAGACAUGAUACAAAGGGAAGAUGAUGUGAAGACACUGACAGCCGGCCAUCCUACAAGCCAAGGCUUGGAACAGAUCCUUCCCUCACAGCCUUCAGAAGGAACCAACCUGCUGACACCUUGAUCUUGAACUUCCAGCCUCCAGAGCUCACAAAGAGAUAUUCCAGGCCCAUCUUGCAAUUUCCCUGCUUUAGGCUUGGAAUUGGCUAUUUAUCCAAGGAGUUCUGGUUGCUUUGAGUGGACAGUGGUAUCUACAAUCCAAAAUUGGGAAAGUCAAGUUCUCUGGGAAGCAGACUCUGAGAAGAAGAUUUGUACGUAGUAGGUUUAUCAAGAAGUACCCUUGGGGGGUGCCUGGCUGGCUCAGUUGGAAGAGCAUGUGACUCAUGAUCUUAGGGCCAUGAGUUUAAGUCCCAUGUGACAUGUAGAGAUUACGUAAGUAAAUAAAACUUAAAAAAAAAAAAAAAGAGGAAGUACCUCUGUGGACAUGAAGGAA